AUCCUUUCAUGGUUCAUAAAUCAUCAGAUUGGGUUUUAACAUUCAUGUGUGAAAUGUGCCUCCCUCAAACCUUGUUAAAACAUUGACAUAUUCAUCUGACA
ensembl:snoRNA